UCCUUGUUAGUAUAGUGGACAGUAUCUCCGCCUGUCACGCGGAAGACCGGGGUUUGAUUCCCCAACAGCGAG